UGCCAGACUUAUUACCGGUAAUCAAUAGC
rnacentral:piRNA from 1 species